UACGGGGGGAGCAAGCGUUGUCCGGAAUCAUUGGGCGUAAAGCGCGCGUAGGUGGCUUCAUAAGUCCGUUGUGAAAGUCAAAGGCUCAACCUUUGAAAGCCGAUGGAUACUGUGAAGCUAGAGUACGGAAGAGGCGAGUGGAAUUCCUGGUGUAGCGGUGGAAUGCGCAGAUAUCAGGAGGAACACCAAUAGCGAAGGCAGCUCGCUGGGACGUUACGGACACUGAGGCGCGAAAGCGUGGGGAGCGAACAGG
rnacentral:rRNA from 1 species